UACAGAGGUCUCAAGCGUUGUUCGGAUUCAUUGGGCGUAAAGGGUGCGUAGGCGGCGCGGUAAGUCGGGUGUGAAAUCUCGGAGCUUAACUCCGAAACUGCAUUCGAUACUGCCGUGCUUGAGGACUGGAGAGGAGACUGGAAUUUACGGUGUAGCGGUGAAAUGCGUAGAUAUCGUAAGGAAGACCAGUGGCGAAGGCGGGUCUCUGGACAGUUCCUGACGCUGAGGCACGAAGGCCCAGGGGAGCAAACGGGG
rnacentral:rRNA from 1 species